ensembl:miRNA
AAGGUACGGGCAGGGGGAGGGGUGGCACCGGGCUGGGGAGCCCUGGCCCCUAAGAGGCCCCUGACCCUGCCUCCCCUGCCAUCUGUCUCCAG